rnacentral:rRNA from 1 species
AUUGAACGCUGGCGGCAGGCCUAACACAUGCAAGUCGAACGAGUGGCGGACGGGUGAGUAAUGCUUGGGAAACUGGCUUAUGGAGGGGGAUAACUACGGGAAACGGUAGCUAAUACCGCGUACCAUAGGAUGAGCCCAGAUGGGAUUAGGUAGUUGGUGGGGUAACGGCUCACCAAGCCGACGAUCCCUAGCUGGUCUGAGAGGAUGACCAGCCACACUGGGACUGAGACACGGCCCAGACUCCUACGGGAGGCAGCAGUGGGGAAUAUUGCACAAUGGGGGCAACCCUGACGCAGCCAUGCCGCGUGUAUGAAGAAGGCCUUCGGGUUGUAAAGUUCUUUCGGUAGCGAGGCGUUACCUACAGAAGAAGCACCGGCUAACUCCGUGCCAGCAGCCGCGGUAAUUC